rnacentral:rRNA from 1 species
CCUACGGGAGGCAGCAGUGAGGAAUAUUGGUCAAUGGACGAGAGUCUGAACCAGCCAAGUAGCGUGAAGGAUGACUGCCCUAUGGGUUGUAAACUUCUUUCAUAAAGGAAUAAAACGAGGCACGUGUGCCUUUUUGCAUGUACUUUAUGAAUAAGGAUCGGCUAACUCCGUGCCAGCAGCCGCGGUAAUACGGAGGAUCCGAGCGUUAUCCGGAUUUAUUGGGUUUAAAGGGAGCGUAGAUGGGUUGUUAAGUCAGUUGUGAAAGUUUGCGGCUCAACCGUAAAAUUGCAAUUGAUACUGGCAGUCGUGAGUACAGUUGAGGUAGGCGGAAUUCGUGGUGUAGCGGUGAAAUGCUUAGAUAUCACGAAGAACUCCGAUUGCGAAGGCAGCUUACUAAACUGCCACUGACAUUGAUGCUCGAAAGUGUGGGUAUCAAACAGGAUUAGAUACCCCUGUAGUC